rnacentral:rRNA from 1 species
UAGAGUUUGAUCCUGGCUCAGAUUGAACGCUGGCGGCAUGCCUUACACAUGCAAGUCGAACGGUAACAGGUCUUCGGACGCUGACGAGUGGCGAACGGGUGAGUAAUACAUCGGAACGUGCCCAGUCGUGGGGGAUAACUACUCGAAAGAGUAGCUAAUACCGCAUACGAUCUGAGGAUGAAAGCGGGGGACCUUCGGGCCUCGCGCGAUUGGAGCGGCCGAUGGCAGAUUAGGUAGUUGGUGGGAUAAAAGCUUACCAAGCCGACGACCUGUAGCUGGUCUGAGAGGACGACCAGCCACACUGGGACUGAGACACGGCCCAGACUCCUACGGGAGGCAGCAGUGGGGAAUUUUGGACAAUGGGCGAAAGCCUGAUCCAGCAAUGCCGCGUGCAGGAUGAAGGCCUUCGGGUUGUAAACUGCUUUUGUACGGAACGAAAAAGCUUCUCCUAAUACGAGAGGCCCAUGACGGUACCGUAAGAAUAAGCACCGGCUAACUACGUGCCAGCAGCCCCGGUCAA